AGCGAACGCUGGCGGCAGGCUUAACACAUGCAAGUCGAACGGUCCUUCGGGAUAGUGGCGGACGGGUGAGUAACACGUGGGAACGUACCCUUAGGUUCGGAACAACACAGGGAAACUUGUGCUAAUACCGGAUAAGCCCUUCGGGGGAAAGAUUUAUCGCCUUUGGAGCGGCCCGCGUCUGAUUAGCUUGUUGGUGAGGUAAUGGCGCACCAAGGCUACGAUCAGUAGCUGGUCUGAGAGGAUGGCCAGCCACACUGGGACUGAGACACGGCCCAGACUCCUACGGGAGGCAGCAGUGGGGAAUCUUGCGCAAUGGGCGAAAGCCUGACGCAGCCAUGCCGCGUGGAUGAUGAAGGUCUUAGGAUUGUAAAGUCCUUUCACCGGGGACGAUAAUGACGGUACCCGGAGAAGAAGCCCCGGCUAACUUCGUGCCAGCCGCCGCGGUAA
rnacentral:rRNA from 1 species